rnacentral:lncRNA from 1 species
UUUGCUUUUGCUUUUGUUGUAGAUGAGUGUUUCUGUUGUUCCAUUGUUUUCCUCUAAUAGUUGAUGCGAUUCCUUUGGUUUAAGUUUGUUAAUCGCAUUUGUAAUUACUUAUUUAAUCGCCUUAUGACUGUAUGACUGUUGUGGGCUUCAUGAUGGUUAUUCUUUAGUUUUCUAUGUUGUGUUAUGUGUACUAUUGUUUGUCUGUUUGUCUUUUUCAUUUUUAGCCAUGGUGUUGUCAGUUCAUUUUCAAUUUGGUAUCUUUAGUCCCUCUUUUUGAAUAGCGGGUAGACCAAGGUUGCCUUUAUUUAUG